GAGUCCGAGCCGCCGCCGCCAUGAGCUGCCCCGUGCCCGCCUGCUGCGCGCUGCUGCUAGUCCUGGGGCUCUGCCGGGCGCGUCCCCGGAACGCACUGCUGCUCCUCGCGGAUGACGGAGGCUUUGAGAGUGGCGCGUACAACAACAGCGCCAUCGCCACCCCGCACCUGGACGCCUUGGCCCGCCGCAGCCUCCUCUUUCGCAAUGCCUUCACCUCGGUCAGCAGCUGCUCUCCCAGCCGCGCCAGCCUCCUCACUGGCCUGCCCCAGCAUCAGAAUGGGAUGUACGGGCUGCACCAGGACGUGCACCACUUCAACUCCUUCGACAAGGUGCGGAGCCUGCCGCUGCUGCUCAGCCAAGCUGGUGUGCGCACAGGCAUCAUCGGGAAGAAGCACGUGGGGCCGGAGACCGUGUACCCGUUUGACUUUGCGUACACGGAGGAGAAUGGCUCCGUCCUCCAGGUGGGGCGGAACAUCACUAGAAUUAAGCUGCUCGUCCGGAAAUUCCUGCAGACUCAGGAUGACCGGCCUUUCUUCCUCUACGUCGCCUUCCACGACCCCCACCGCUGUGGGCACUCCCAGCCCCAGUACGGAACCUUCUGUGAGAAGUUUGGCAACGGAGAGAGCGGCAUGGGUCGUAUCCCAGACUGGACCCCCCAGGCCUACGACCCACUGGACGUGCUGGUGCCUUACUUCGUCCCCAACACCCCGGCAGCCCGAGCCGACCUGGCCGCUCAGUACACCACCGUCGGCCGCAUGGACCAAGGAGUUGGACUGGUGCUCCAGGAGCUGCGUGACGCCGGUGUCCUGAACGACACACUGGUGAUCUUCACGUCCGACAACGGGAUCCCCUUCCCCAGCGGCAGGACCAACCUGUACUGGCCGGGCACUGCUGAACCCUUACUGGUGUCAUCCCCGGAGCACCCAAAACGCUGGGGCCAAGUCAGCGAGGCCUACGUGAGCCUCCUAGUGACUAGGCUACUUUUGCCCACUGUAAAAGGCACCGUCAUCCUGGUAUCAAGAUUCUGGAGAGGCCAGAUUUGAAAUCAAGUUUGUUUGAGACGUGGAUGACGAUGGGGAAGAUGUCCAUCCUGUGCAGGGUGCAGACACUGUCCAGCUGGACGUCCAGGAGGGCAUGGGUGUUCUUUGUGGGAGGGAGAGAAGAAGUGAGUCAAGAUCACAGGCCUCAGAGGAAGCAAAGGGAGCCAACGCCCAGGUCAGAAGGGCCCUCCGGACAGGCUGAGGGCAGGGCAGGAGCUGGGCAGAGCUGAAUUUUGUAGAGGAGAUGAGGGAAUAGAGCUUGCCACUUUCUUCUCUCUUUUUUUUAUUUUUAUUUUUUAUUUUUUUGAGACGGAGUCUCGCUCUGUCGCCCAGGCUGGAGUGCAGUGGCGCGAUCUCGGCUCACUGCAAGCUCUGCCUCCCAGGUUCAUGCCAUUCUCCUGUCUCAGCCUCCCGAGUAGCUGGGACUACAGGCGCCCACCACCACGCCUGGCUAAUUUUUUCUGUUUUUAGUAGAGACAGGGUUUCACCGUGUUAGCCAGGAUGGUCUUGAUCUCCUGACCUCAGGUGAUCUGCCCGCCUCGGCCUCCCAAAGUGCUGGGAUUAGAGGCGUGAGCCACCGCACCCGGCCCACUUUUAAUUUUUUUAGCUUUUAAAUGUUUUGUAGAGACGGGUGUCUCACUGUGUUGCUCAGGCUGGUCUCAAAUUCCUGGGCUCAAGCAAUCUUCCCGCCUAGGCCUCCCAAAGUGUGGGGAUUACAGGCGCGAGCCACUGUGCCCGGCUACUUUCUUCUCUUUUUAUUUUUUAAUUUUUUUUAGAGACGGGUCUCACUGUGUUGCUCAGGCUGGUCUUGAACUCCUGGGCUCAAGCGAUCCUCCCACCUCGGGUUCCCAAAGUGCUGGGAUGACAGGCGUGAGCCCCAGGCCCAGCUGAGUUUGCCACUUUCUAAAUGAGGCUGUGUGCUAUGCAGUAUUAAGAGUUUCCAUCCCUUUGAUUUUUCACUGGGAAAAUCUAGAAAUUGUGAGCUCUGGGGAUGAGGUGAACUUGGCAUGGAGCUCCGCCAGCCCCUACAGGAGGCACGCAGAUGCCAGACUCGGCUUCCCGUGCCUGUGCAGACACAAAGCUGUGGUUCACGGGGAGCUGCUUUUCACGCGUUUGCGCCUUCAAACGUGGAGAGUGUUGUUAGCUCGGAUUUAUUCAUUCUCGAACAAAUAUCUAUUAAACAUCCCCCAAGCUGAGGAAACUGAGAUUCAAGGAGUUGGGAGACCUCACCCACAGUCACGUGGAUCCUAACUGGCUGAGAUGAGUUUUGGGCUCCUGCUGGGCUGUUGGGACCCAGAGGUCGGCGACAAGGUCACCCAGGUCUCAGGUCGGUCCCUGUACCUUUAUCUCAUCCCCCUCCUCUGCAUUCCUGAAACCCUUCCCAGGACAGCUCCCCUGCCCACCCCGCCCUUGACCUCACCUUUUCCAUGAGGGACUCCACAGCAUGGCGGGUCACCCAGCAGCGGCCCCCGGACACCUCUCCCUCCUGGAUGAUGUCCCCUCUCUGGCUCCAGGCCUCAUACUCCUCCUGGCUCAAGUACUCUACAGGUGACAUUGGACGGGGCCAUCAUAGACCAGCUGUGUGGGGGUCUGGGGGAGUCCCAUGGUAAACACCCCUGUCCCCGUGAACCCUGCCAGCACUGGGAGAAGCUCUUCUUAGGAUGUCCACUUUACAAACCUGACCCUGCACACCCCGCUCUGUGCCCUGCACCUCCAUCCUGAACUAUCUGGACACAGCAGGCUGGAGUGCAAUGGCACCAUCUCGGCUCACUGCCACCUCUGCCUCCCGGGUUCAGGCGAUUCUCCUGCCUCAGCCUCCCGAGUAUCUGGGAUUACAGGUGUGCGCCACCACACCCAGCCCCAUGAUUCUUGAAGACCAGAUCCUGGCCUAAAUGAGUGGCAUCCCCCUGCCCCAGCUGACCAACUAGCAGCAGCUCCCAAAGCCCCUCACCCACUUGGAGCCAGUGGCCCCUGUGCCAGCUCACCAGGCCUCACCCUCCAUCCUGCUGGGGUCCAACUGGCCCCUGUCAAAGGACAAACGCAGAGGGCUGGCCUUGGCUUUGUCCAUACUGACGAUGCGGACCAGCUUCUGUGGUCCCCCAGAAGAUGGCUAAAGGAGGGACAGAGAAAGGAUGAGGAGGAGCUGUUGAAGCCAUCAACAGGAAUGGGAAUUCAGGGGAGAUGAUUGGCACUAGGGCGACCUGGGAGUGAUGCAGAGGCGCAGAUGCUCUGAGAACAGCCUGAGGUGUGUCUGCACUUGUGCAAGAGCCUGCAGGCUGGGCAGGGGCUGCAGACCCUGCCCUGGUUUGAAGGGGUGCAGAGGAGAGACAGGUGGGGUUACCCUCCAAUCAGCAGCCCACUCUCCACACAGUGCCUCCUGCCACCCUGCCAGCACCGAGCCCCUCUUCCAGCCCACCCCAGUGGGGUCCAGGCCCCUCCCUGGAGCCUCACCUUGCGGGUCACGGUGCACUGCUGAGUCAUGUCCUGGAUGAGGGCUAUGAGCUGCUGCUGAGCCCUGCAGAGACCAGCAGAGGCCCUGACCCAGCUGCCUCCUGCCAGGCUGGAGCGCUCCAUCCUGGCGGCCAUGCCAGUCUCCAGAGCUUUCAAAAGACUCCAGGGCCUCGGCCCACCCCUGGAGAUGCUGAUUUACUUGUCCUGGGGCGGGACCCAGGGGGUGCUGUUGAGCAGCCAGCGUACAGGGCCCCACUCCAGGACCUCAAUAUUCAUGGUGGGUCCCUGGCCUGCAGCCUGGAGUCACCGAGAGAGCUGUUAGAAAUGCAGAGUGCCAGGCCUCUCCCUGGACCUGCUGGCUCCGAUCCCCAGGGGACUUGAGUUUGCAAUGAGUGAUGGGGGUGCUGAGCUCAACACUCCUGCUUUCUAGCACUGUGCGUUCCGUGCACUUGAAACUUGGAGCCUCCCAUAGGCUGAUCUAGAACAAUGGUUUCCUUUUCUUUUUUUUUUUUUUUGAGACAGAGUCUCACUCUGUCGCCCAGGCUGGAGUGCAAUGGCUCAAUCCCGGCUCACUGCAACCUCUGCCUCCGGGGUUCAAGUGAUUCUCCUGCCUCAGCCUCCUGAGUAGCUGGGAUUACAGGCACCUGCCACCACGCCCAGCUAAGUUUUUUGUAUUUUUAAUAGAGACAGGGUUUCACCAGGUUACCCAGGCUGGUCUCGAACUCCUGACCUCAGAUGAUCCACCCGCCUCGGCCUCCCAAAGUGUUUGGAUUACAGGUGUGAGCCACCAUGCUCGGCCUAGAGCAGUGGUUUUCAAUGGAGCAAGGCAGGGGGCAAUGUCACUCCCCAGGGAGGGUGACCAGCUGUCCCUGCUUGCCCAGGACCGAGGGGCUUCCCUGCAAGUGGGGCUUUCAGUGCUAAGACCAAGACAGUCCUAGGAGAACCAGGGGACCCUUGGCAACCUAUAGAGACAUUUCUGGUUGUCACAGCUGGGGCAUGGGAGUAGUCCCGGCAUCCUGGGUAGGGCGGCCAGGGAUGCUGCUCUAUAUCCUGCAGUGCCCAGGACGGCCCCACCACAGACGGGGAUCCAGCCCCAAACGUCCAUGGUACCAAAGCUAAGAAACCCAGAGCUAAGAAACCCAGAUCUAGAAUGUUCUAGAAUGAACAUUUCAUUUGCAAUAUAUAAAGCAUCCAUCACAAAGAAACAACAUCUUCAGCAGUGAUCUUGGCAGGCUUCCCUCCUUAGGGGGGUCUCACCACGCCCACCCUCUAUUGCUGGGCAGGAGGAGGAAGCCGAGGCAGGCUGGGUGCCAUUUCCCUGUGGGCCUCUCUGGGGACGCACCGAGCUCGAGGCAGCUGCUCACCUGGAGUAGUUGGGGAUGGUGCCGUGCGCGGCAGUAUCCUUCAUGGUGUAAGAGUUCACGCGGUGGGCAUGCCAGCAGCCGCAGCCCUGGAACAUGGUGUCGGUGACGUGCAGGACCUCGUUGCAAUGCACCUGCAGCUCCCCUUUGGCCCUGCCCUCCAUGGCCAGGUUGACCCGGAUGUAGAAUGAGUCCCCCGAGGUCGCCACUUUGGCCUCCAGGUCCUGGAGUAGCCUCUUAUAACCUGAUAAAAGGGGACAUGAGCCACAGAUGAGCCACAGAUACGAGCCUCUGCGAGGAAGGUUGCAGAAAAUUAAAGUAGGAGAGAAGGAAGGACCCUCCCAGUCUCAGAAGCUGCUCUGGCACUGGAGUCAGUGGGUGGGAGGUUUCCAGCUGGCUUGGGGGCCUCCUGGGGACCUGGGGCACAGCCUGGCUGAUCCUCUCUUGGCUCUGGGGGUCCCUGGCUGCUGGGCGUGCAGAAGAACCACCAGGGACUUAAGGGUCAUGGAGUCUGGCCAGGCAGCUGUGCACACGAGAGGAGUGGUAUGUGUACCGUCCGUGUUGACCUUCACAGACAGGCAGCAGAAGCCGUCCACCCUCCUGAGAAGCCCCACGGCCUCCUCCAGGGUCGUGUCCUCCAGGACUGCCUUGAACAAGGGCUCUGAGGCUUCGUAAUCAACCUGAGGGCAAGUCGAGAAGGUCAGUCUCUUUCCCCCGGGACUCUGAAUCCAGCCAGAAGACAGAAGGCGCUGAGGGCACUGAGGCGAGGCGCGGGCCAGCCCUGCCGUAGGACCACUGCCUGCACGCCUUGGUCAAAACAAAGCCACACACCAGAGCCUCUGUGGGGCCUUCACACCUCUAGUGAUGCGUGCUACACAUAGUGCUGGCCAGAGAGUCAACUGCCAACCCUUCCCCAGUCGAGAUCGGGGGUUCUUUGUGAUAAGCACUUUCCUGUCUUGAAAAAGAAAAGAAAAGAAAAGAAAGAACCUCGGUUCUAGAACAUUCAAGAGCAUUCUAGAUAGAGGUUUCUUAGCCUUGGGAUCAUUCUGUGCUGCUGCGGGCUAUACCGGGCCCUACAGGAUGCUGAGUGGCAUCCCUGGCCUUCACCUACCCGAUGCCCUGGCUCUCCACCCACAGCCUUCCCCACUGUGAAGGCCCACCCCCCAGGGCUUCCACCAUCCACUUCAUUUCUUCUCAAUAUUGUUCUAAGCUUAGGAGAGUAGAUAUUUUUACAAUAAAAAUUAAGAUGUGUUUUAACACCAUUAGAAUCUAAUUGGCCCCCUUAGGAUAUCGGGACUAUCUCCCUGAACAUCGUCAAGGGGCUCUGUUGCUUGAACUACCUCAGAGCUGAUAAUUGGGAACCUUAAGAGCAGGGUUCCCCAACCCCUGGGCCACAUACUGGUACUGGUCCAUGGUCCAUCAGGACCCGGGUCACACAGCAGGAGGGGCGUGGUGGGCAAGUGAGCAUUACGGCCUCAGCUCCACCUCCUGUCAGCUCAGCACAGCAGUAGAUUCUCAGAGGAGCAUGAGCCCUAUCGUGAACUGUGCAAGUGAGGGAUCUAGGUUUCACGCUCCUUAUGAGAAUCUAAUUCCUGAUGAUCUGUUACCGUCUCCCAUCACCCCCAGAUGGGACCGUCUAGUUGCAGGAAAACAAGCUCAGGGCUCCCACUGAUUCUGAAUUAUGGUUCAGUGUAUGAUUCUUUCAUUACAUAUUACAGUGUAAUAAUAAUAGAAAUAAAGUGUACAAUCAA